UAUUCCUCGUACCCUUGCUUUCUUUCUGUGUAGCAUUGCUAAUACUUAGUUUAAUUAUUGUGUUUUCUAUCUCUCUCUUUAGAAUAUAAACUCCAUGACCAGUUUUGUUCACUGCUUAUCCCCAGCAUCCAAAACAGUGUCUGGGAAGUAAUGUGCCAAUAAUUAUUUUCGAAUGUAGUCCUCAAUAAUGACUUUUUGAAUGUAGUUGGAUAGUGCUUCCUGUAAGACCACAGUGAGAGCUGACCCUAGUUAUUGAUCUAGAAACACUGGAGAUAGUUGUGGCAAAUCUCAAGAAGGGAAUCUCCCAUCUUGGAAGACAUCUUCAUAAGUCCUCACCAUUCUCCUCCAGAAGUUGGCUGAAAAGAACAAAGAAGUACCCAAAUAUUCAAUAAAAUUCUUAAUCAUUUUU